UACGUAGGGUGCAAGCGUUAAUCGGAAUUACUGGGCGUAAAGCGUGCGCAGGCGGUCUGUUAAGACCGAUGUGAAAUCCCCGGGCUUAACCUGGGAACUGCAUUGGUGACUGGCAGGCUUUGAGUGUGGCAGAGGGAGGUAGAAUUCCACGUGUAGCAGUGAAAUGCGUAGAGAUGUGGAGGAAUACCGAUGGCGAAGGCAGCCUCCUGGGCCAACACUGACGCUCAUGCACGAAAGCGUGGGAGCAAACAGG
rnacentral:rRNA from 1 species